GCGUGGUGCCCGGGGUGGUGGGCGCCGUGCUGGUGGCCGUGGCCGGCGCCGUCUCCAGCUUCGUCGCCUUCCAGAAGAAGAAGCUGUGCUUCCAGCAGCGCGAUGCGUCGGCCCAGGUCUGAGGGUCACGGCCUCCGCCUGUGACCUCUGACCCCUCCUGACCUGCGACCCCCGACCUGACCCCCUCCACCCACCACCUGGCUUUGGUUUCAUCCCAACAACUGGGCCUCGAAUCCUGGGCCUCCAACGUGUCGGCCUCCACCGGGGCCUCGGCCUCCAAUCCCAGGCCUCAGGCUUCAGCCUCCACCCUAGGCCUCAGGCCUCAGCCUCCACAUUAGGCCUCGGCCUUCAGUCCCAGGCCUCAGCCUCCAUUCUAGGCCUCAAGCCUCGGCCUCCAAUCACAGGCCUCAGGCUUCAGCCUCCAAUACCAGGCCUCAGGCUUCGGCCUCCAACCUAGGCCUGGGCCUCCAAUACCAGGCCUCAGGCUUCAGCCUCCACUCUAGGCCUCAGGCUUCAGCCUCCAAUCCUAGGCCUCAGGCCUCAGCCUCCACCCUAGGCCUCAGCCUCCAUUUUAGGCCUCAGCCUCCAAUCCCAGGCCUCAGGCUUCGGCCUCCAAUCCCAGGCCUCAGGCUUCAGCCUCCACUCUAGGCCUGGGCCUCCAAUCACAGGCCUCAGGCUUCAGCCUCCACUCUAGGCCUCAGGCUUCAGCCUCCACUCUAGGCCUCAGGCUUCAGCCUCCACUCUAAGCCUCAAGCCUCGGCCUCCAAUCACAGGCCUCAGGCUUCAGCCUCCAUCCUAGGCCUCAGGCUUCGGCCUCCACCCUAGGCCUGGGCCUCCAAUCACAGGCCUCAGGCUUCAGCCUCCACAUUAGGCCUCAGGCUUCAGCCUCCAAUCCCAGGCCUCAGGCUUCAGCCUCCACAUUAGGCCUCAGGCUUCAGCCUCCAAUCCCAGGCCUCAGGCUUCAGCCUCCAUCCUAGGCCUCGGCCUCCAAUCCCAGGCCUCAGCCUCCACUCUAGGCCUCAGGCUUCACCCUCCACAUUAGGCCUCAGGCUUCAGCCUCCAAUCCCAGGCCUCAGGCUUCGGCCUCCACCCUAGGCCUGGGCCUCCGCUCCCAGGCCUCCCCCCUCGGCCUCCAGCUCUCGCCUUUUGGUAUAACCAUAAAAGUGGCUUGACCUCUGA